rnacentral:rRNA from 1 species
GACGAACGCUGGCGGCGUGCCUAAUACAUGCAAGUCGAACGAGCGGCGGACGGGUGAGUAAUGUAUGGGGACUGCCCGAUAGCGGGGGAUAACUACUGGAAACGGUGGCUAAUACCGCAUACUAUCGGAUGACCCAUAUGGGAUUAGCUAGUUGGUGGGGUAAAGGCUCACCUAGGCGACGAUCCCUAGCUGGUCUGAGAGGAUGAUCAGCCACACUGGGACUGAGACACGGCCCAGACUCCUACGGAGGCAGCAGUGGGGAAUAUUGCACAAUGGGCGCAAGCCUGAUGCAGCCAUCCCGCGUGUAUGAAGAAGGCCUUAGGGUUGUAAAGUACUUUCAGCGGGGAGGCGUUACCCGCAGAAGAAGCACCGGCUAACUCCGUGCCAGCAGCCGCGGUAAUUC